rnacentral:ncRNA from 2 species
CUCUUCCUAUCAUUGUGAA